UGUACUUGAUUACCGACGCCAAAAAAUUG
rnacentral:sRNA from 1 species